ensembl:lncRNA
GUCAAUUCUAGCCACAAUUUUUUUCCUUGUGUAUUUAACAUAGAAAAAAGGUGUGUAUGAGGCUCUUGGCCUCACUUUUGUUGAUUCACAUCAGAAUUCUGACUGACAAAAUGCCUGAACCACAUUGCUUUCAUUUUUGGCUCUGCCUUUUUCCUUUCUUAAUGCUCUUCUAAAACUAUAAAUAAAAUGAAUACAUUUUGAAUGCAAUUUAUUUUGUGAUGUCACCGAUAUAGGUGUGAGGGCAGUAAUAUGAGGGUUAGUGUAGUCUGUGUUACGUCUUUUCAAAAUUCAUUCAUGCAAAAAUCUCAUUUGUAUUUGUCCACUUGGGAAGCAUACACUUUGACUUUUCUGUGACAAAGCUGUUGUAUUGUUUGACAGUAGACAUUAAAUUUAGAUGGGAAAUUAUGUAGCUUUUCACUGUACAGACUAGGGAGUGUUCAGGCGUUAAAUCACGUGACGAGAAAAUAAAAAUGUAGGCUAUAAUUUACAAAUGCUUGUCAGAUGUUAAUCUUUAUGCCUUUGAUAUGAGAGCAUAUCGAUGUUUCGUGGUGUACAGGUUGAAUAUUUUCCUUUGUUUAUAUCUAAACUAACCCCGGCCCGGUUUGAAGAGAGAGUCCUCUUAAUGUUACAAGCUGGACUCAAAGAAUUGAGCAUGAAUACCUGUGUUAGGCAUUAUUUCCACUCUCUGUUAUCUUUCUCUAGCAUGCAAGAUUCAGUCGGGAGCACUAGUAGCUUUUUGUGGUCGAUGGGGAUUACUACUUUCCUAAUAAGUGAAUGAAGUGGGUGGAAAUGAUUUGCUCUGCAUUUUAAAAAUAUGGCUUGAUUAAAGUUGCCUGCAUCACGGAUCCCGGGAUUGUGUUAGAUUAGAACUAUUGGUAUUUAUUAUGUUACUUGAUUUUUGACUGGCCUCUCGAUGCUACAUUGUGUCUGAGUGUAAUCAUAUGGUGGAAUAAUCCUAUUCUACAGGGUGUCCCAAAAGUCUCCAUACAUAGGGGAAGUUAAUACUUUUUUAACAAAAUGUACCUGUAUUUACAAAACAUUCUCUACAUGAUUCCCUCUCCCAAUUUUGGCUCCCAGUUUGGCAACAGUGUGGUGUGUGUGUGUGUAUGUGUGAUGUGCUUGCUAUGUUUCCAGUUAAAGUCCAUGGCACACAGCUUCCCGAUCACAGAAGCGACAGCUUCCUGAUCCAGCCAUAAGGAUGAUUUCAAUACAUUCUUCUACUGUCGAAGGCAUUCUUAAAGGCUGGAAUGUGUGUAUAAAUAUAAGUAUGAAAAAUUUGGCAAGACAUUCUGCUAAAAAGUGUUAAUUUCCCUUUACAGUUGAGACUUUUGGGAAACCCUGUAUAUGUGCUUGUUUUUCUUUGGUUGUCAUUUGUGCAUUCAAGCAGAAGUGUGUGUGUGUGUGUGUGUGUGUGUGUGAGAGAGAGAGAGAGAGAGGGAGAGAGGGAGAGAAUGAGAACAUGCAGUACAUAAUGAAGCCAUUCGAUCAGAUAUCUUUGGGUAAAAGGGUUUAUAAAACAUGGUCUUUCCCUGCGCUGGUUUAUUUGAGGCUGCUAGCUAAUUGUGCAUGUAGUGUGUAUAUAUAGCAUUUAUUUUUGUACUUCACUAAAAUUCAAAAAGCUUCAAGAUUAUGUAAUUAUGUCUCUCAAAUAUAUACCAUGGACUUCAGAACAAAGUCUGUUGAAGCUAUAUUAUAGUGAAGUAUUUUUAGGUUCUCUGUACUCAAGGCAUGAGUGAUUAAUUAAUUGACAUAAGACAGAGUAUGAAAUCUCGAAAAGAUGUGGUGUUAUUUACACUGUUGUAUUGUGGGAAUUGGUCAAGUUACAGUAAAAAGGAAAUUCUAAAUUGAUCUCUUUUCUUGUCUUGUAAUCUUUGGUGACAGUAUGACUAACAAGCAUGUGAAGGGAAGCUGUAUGUAGCAAUGAAUAGAAAAUAACAAUUGUGCCCUAGUGUAUAACCUCAUGUGAACAGGAAGAUGAUGGUGAAUCAAGCACUUAUUCACAUUGAAAUGGAAAAAUAAUUGUCACUGUUUGUCAAAAAAAAGUGCAGAGUUCAUAAUGGAAGUGAUAUAAUUUGGUGUCAUUCAGUAUAUCUUGUCUUCAGUUGUGUUCCCGAUACAUUUUUGGUAUAUAUUUUUUUUACACAGUCAUAAUUUGAGCCAUAUUUGCAGGUGAAACAGCCAACAUUUUCAAAAUAAUUUCAUCACUGGGCCUGACAUUGUCUGUUUUAGUUGUAAAGUAGGCUGUAAAAGCAGGUAAGUAAUAUCAGGUCUAGCUGAUAUUCAGAUGCGAUUGCAAGUGAAAACAGAGAGUGACAUUAUAAGGACGAUGUGAGCAGAUUACAUCUCUUAAAGCUGAGCAUCGUCAAACGUAGCUGAGGAAGACUGAUACUCUAGUGGACCUCCAUAGUGCAGUAUUUAAAAGAGCCUGGUUGUCUCUCGAUGGCUGGUUGUUCUGCUUUGAAUGUGGAAAUUGAGCAAGGGACCUUAUUUAUGUCAUGAUAUGGAAACAUCACAUUCUUGUUAAAAAAACAAAAAAGGUUCCCAAGCUUCCUGUGUCCCUAAACACACAUUUGUAAUAGUAGAUUGUGACUGUGGGUGACAUGCGACAUUUAAUGAUGGGUGACAUUUUAUGUACUGAAUUCCAGGGACGAUAAACUUUUUACAAUUUCUCAAAGUGUGAAUUGUUAAAAUAACGGGAAGGUAGACAAUUCGGGAGAGAAAUGCAGAAUUACAGAGCUGUGUCACUACAUUUACUGUCUGAAUAUUUAUUAAUGUGUUCCAUUUAUUUGCAAGUAAGUUCAAAUUAGUCAUCAGUCACCACUGGCUUUUUCAAAUCUCUUGCCACACAUGUAUUUUUAGGACAGAACAGUGUCUUAUUCAUUUAAGUGCGUUUUAGAGUCUCAAUCAGCUCUGUGUAAUUUCACUUUGGAGAUUGUUGGAGCAGCGUGGCCUAGUCAACAGCUGUGACUUUUAACCUUUUGCUUGCCCAGCUGCAGCAGUUCAACCGGUUGCUGUACAGGUUUCCGUGUGUACCGACUUUUUCACCAUCUAAAAAGAAACGACAUGUCUACUUAUCCAGUGCAGUUCUAUUUUUAAAUAGUUGUUUUUUUUAUGUGCAAGGGUUUUCAAGCUCACUUACACAGUAAGUGUUAAGUGACAAUCGCCUGAUAAUAUAUGAACAGUUCAAAUACUGUUUCAGGAUGAGCAAUGCAAAAGGUGUGUGUGUGUGCGUGUGUGUCAGAGGGAAGAGAUAGCGUGGGCUGAAUUUGAAUACCGAGAUGCCAAGUAGAAAACAUAGGAUGUGUAAAUGCCACAUAGAAAUAUCGAAUCCUUCUCAAAAUAUUGCACAGCCCUGAAUAAUAUGCAUGACCUUUUUUUCUUUUUUCAGAAAACCACAAGCCUUCUCAGUUUUGUUUUUCGGGCGUAAUUUGGCUUAUGUUUAAGUUCACCAUCUUUGUGUUAAGACAAACAUUCUUCGAACCUCUGCAGGAUAGCAGCAUAUUUAGAAACGUGCAUGGGCAUAAAAACAAAACCGAUAUAUGUAGAUUUUUUUUCUUUUCUUUUUCCAAUCAGUCUGUUGUCCUGCACACAUUUGAUUUGCUAUUGUUAGCAGGUUGCAGUGUAGUGUGUAAUGUGUAGAGCACUGUCAUAUGGCAGUGUUUUUUAAGUGAGAUGUUUGUUUAUUUUAGUUUGAUUUUAUUCUUAGAUUUCAUCUGUGUAAUGUAUUUUAACUGAGUUUGCAGUUGUAGAUGAAAACAGGUCCAUGACACAUACUUAAUUAAAAUGCAUUUGUCAACUGCUAGAACAGAAAUACAAGGCUCUUAACACCUUUAUGCACUUUACUCCAUGCACAUGACUAUACAAUACAAAUUGUUUUAAUUCGAUUCUGCAAGUGACACUUCAUUUAGCAGUGAUGUGAAUUUUCUGCUGUUGUAAUUACAGAUCACUGAGUAGUAGUAGUAGUUGUUGUUGUUGUUUUUUAGUGGCUCAUUGCUUAUCACAAACUUCUCAUUUUGUUUUGACCAUGCUGCCUUAACAUUACUCGACUCUCAAAAGCCACGAGGUGGGCGUAUGUUUCCAACACAAUUUUAAAAAACAGCAAAAAAAACCCCCCAACCGGCUGCCUUAAGAUCGGUGCUGUUAGUUUAUACACUUAAAUAAUGACCUUAAAUGUCUCAUAUUGACUAUUUAUGAGUACUGUUCUGUUGUUGGUGUUCAUUCUGGUUCAGCUGUUUAGAAAAGGGUGGGGGAGGAAACAUACAUAUGUCUGCAUGGUAUGAUAUGUAUCUUUCACUUAAGAGAACUUUUCAAAAGUCAACUUUCAGCCUCUUUUUUUGGUCUGUAUGUCUACAUAUGUCUAAGUGUGUGUCUGUGUGUGUGUCUGUGUCUGUUUGUGUGUGUGUUUUGUAUUUCACAAAGUGUAUCAGUACUCCCACCUGUGGUUGUGUGCUGCUUGCUGCUUUGCGCACAGACAACAGUAAGAGGUUAAUGGUAGUCACAAAAACACUCCAGCAUUUAAAAAACAAAACAAACAAAAAACAAACUAGAAUUAGUGUCUGUGCAAAUAUGGACAUUUAGUUUGUUUCUAGUUGUUACUGGUUUUAGUUUUUACUUUGUUGUUAGUUGAAACCCUUAAUCUGUCUAAUUCCUAGUUAAUUCUAGCAAUACAAAGCUAUAUAUUUGUAGUUACUCUGAUGCAGUUUUACACAAGCCAUUUCUGUAAAGGUUUCUUCAUUCUUAGCAUGUCAUAUUUUCCUCAGUUCAGACCUCAUUUCACAACAGAGGUAGAAUUUAGUAGUGCUGUUUUUCCAGGCACAGAAUGUAAUGCAGUUCUGAAGCUCUGAAGCUUUUUUUUUUAACCGACUGUUACUAGUUAGGUUAGGCAUGACUAUUUAAAAAAUGUGUGCUUAAAUUGUACGGUUUAUGGAGCUAUGAGUAAGAUUAGAUGACAUGCGUGGAGAUUUGAUCUUUGUUGUCUGUGAGAGUUUCAGUAUUAAUUGUCACUGCGUCUGCGUGUAGGAGUAACUUGUUAUCAGCAGCCAGUCAAAAACAGAACACCGAAUUUCACUCUACGUUUUUAUUAUUAAAAUCGCUCAUAUUGUACGAACGCCUGGACUGCUUCGUAUCGCGCUGAAAUUCUUUCAAUGAUUCGCUUUUUUACCCCCCUGUUUUGCUUUUGUGGGUGAAGGUAAAACAGAAAAAGCUCCCCAACAAUAUGAGGUAAUGUCUGCACAAGAAGUCCUUCGCAGCAGCAGCUCCUAAUAUAUUAUUGAGUAAAAUUGUGUGAAACCGAUGUAACGAAAACCAAGCGAGAUUUUAGAAAAUCACACUGCUGUAGAGUUCAGGACGUUCAGACGUGAAGUCCAUAAAGGCAUGGUUUGUAUGCCAAGGUUGGUAUGCUUAUUAAUGCAUGAUAAUGUUUUGUUCAUAUUUAUAAGUACAAAGUGAAAAAAUAGUUGUGUAAAUAUUAAGCGGUUAUAUUCACUAGGUGUAUUAAAUAACAAAAAACAAAAGUGUCCAAAUACUUAUUUCCCCAUGCUGUAGUUAACCAUCACUACAACAACCUAUAUGAGAAUGUUAGUCUUCUGAUUACAUGUUUAGACCUUAAUUUCACUUAAAAACUUUUAAUCUACUUUUGAUCACAACAAAACACUUUUUUUUUUUUUUCUUUCAAUGGUGACAUUUGGCAAGAAUGUUGAGAGCUGAAAAGUCAUCAAAAAUUCAAUAAAUACAAUGGACUUCUCUGGAAUAUAACAUAUAUAAUUGGCACAGCUGACAGAAUUCUUCAUCAUCAUCAUAUUAUUAUUAUUAUUAUUAUUAUUAUUAUUAUCAUUAUAUUGAAAAAGGGAACAUGUGAUCAAACUGACUUAAGAGAAAAUCUUAAGUGUUUCUCAUCAAAACAUGAUUUCAUUGCCUAUACUACAUUUAAUUAAAAUAAUCUAAUCUGCUAGCUUGAAUUAUGCAAUUAUGAGCGAGUGUGAUCCAUUGAGUAUUGACAUGAUCGAAUCACGUCAUACACUCUCGGCAUGCUGGCACAGUGGGUAGCGUUGUUGCCUCCCAGCUAUGAGGGCCUUGGUUUGCUCCUGUCUGUGGGGAGUUUGAGUUUAUUCCAGGCCUUUGAAUAUACAUGAUCAAAUCAUGUUGGCUGUACAAAACAGAUCAUGCAAACUCCACUAACAAGACUGUGUUAAUGCAGGUCAAUUAAUUUACAUAGAAAACAAAUACGUGAACUUAACAAUUAAAGUGUAAGAGCUGAUUUUGUGUUGAAGUAAAAUUUCACUUCUGUGGAACAUUUGUAUAAAGUAAAUUCACUGAACUUUUUGUUUCCAGUGUACAGAAUAUGCUGGCACAGAAUAACUUCUACAUAUACAUUUUAUGUCAGGUUUGAGGAAAUACGUAGUUCCAUAGUGAGGAACUAGUGAGUGUAUAGUCAUGUACAUAUACAGUGUAUGUGUUGUACAGAGAACACAAAGUUCAAACUACAGUGUGUGUGUGUUGACGUGACAGACAUACUUUAUGCUAAAUGUUAACAAAAUAUUAUGUUAUCAGUAUACAGUCCACUCCAAAACUAUUGGAAAGGCAAUGCUUAUUCUUUUGUUUGUGCUAUACACUGAAGGAUCCAAAGAUGGAUGAGACAAUAGAUCAGAAUUUCAGCUUUCAUUUCCUGGUAUUUACAUCUAGAUGUGUUAAACAACAUAAAACCUUUUGUAUCAGAACACCUAAUUUUUAGGGGAGCAAUAAUAAUGGAACAGAUGGCCUUAAAGUAAAUAACACUUAAUAUCCGGUUGCAUAUCCCUUGCUUGCAAUAACUGCAUCAACCCGAAGAUGCAUUCACAUCACCAAACUGUUGCCUUUUUAGAUGAGGUCAUUUAUUGUGUUGGCAGUGUGUUUUGGAUCAUUGUCUUGCUGCAUGAUGAAGUUCCUCCCAAUUAGGUUGGAUGCAUUUCUCUGAAAAUUGGAAGACAUUGUUCCUGUAAACUUCUGAAUUCAUUCUGUUGUUACCGACAUGAGUUACAUCAUCAAUAAAGAUUAGUGAGCCUGUUCCAGAAGCAGCCAUGCAAACCCAAGCCAUGACACUACUUCCACCAUGCUUGACUGAUGAGCUUCUAGCUUUUGGAUCAUGAGCAGAUCCAUUCUUUCUCCUCACUUUGGCCUUUCCAUUACUUUGGUUGAGGUUAAUCUUGGUUACAGAACUUUUGUGGCUCAUCUCUGUACUUCUUUUGCAAAUUCCAAUCUGGCUUUUCGAUUCUUACUGCUGAUGAGUGGUUUGCACCUUGUGGUAUUGCCUCUAUAUUUCUGCACUUGACGUCUUCUUCGAAUGGUGGAUUGUGAUACCGUCACCCCUGCCCUGUGAAGGUUGUUGAGGUCACUGACUGUUGUUUUUGGGUUUUUCUUCACAACUCAACAAUGUUCAUGUUAUCAACUGCUGUUGUUUUCCUUGGCUGACCUGUUCAAUGUCUGGUUAUUAAUACACCAGUGGUUUCUUUCUUUUUCAAGACAUUCCAAAUUGCUGUAUUGAUUAUGCCCAAUGCUCGUGCACUGGCUAAGAUACAUUUUCCCUCUCUUCUCAGCUUCAAAAUGGCUUGCGUUUCCCCCAUAGACAGCUGUUUUUCCUCCCAUAGACAGGUCUUCAUGUGGGUUUAUCCUUUUUAAUGACAAAUACAGGUCAUCACAGGUGAAACCUAGGACAAAAACCAAGAGUAGACGUUCAGAGAUAUUAAUUCUUUAAACAAUCAAUUUAACAGGACAUACCCAGGCAGCAAGAAACACACAUCAGUCAUAGGUUACAAUAUUUUUGAUCAAUUAAAAAAAAGUGUGGUUUCAAACAAAAGGUGCCAUGUUCCAAGUUGUUUUUAACAAUCUAGAUGUAAAUAUGAGGAAAUGAAAGCUGUAUUUCUGAUCUGUUGUCUCAUAUUUAUCUUUUGAUCUCAAACACAGAUGUCUUCAAUGUAUAGCAUUAAAAAAUAGAAUUGGCCUUUCUGUUCUGAGACUUUCAUAGGGGACUGUAUUUACUCUGCUGAAGGUCUUGAUUUUAGGUAUUAUGAGGCUGAUAAAUAGGUAAUUAUGGUAAUCAUCACGAUUGGUUUAGAGUUGCAUUGCUUUAUGUACAGUAUCACACUCCAAAUGGUCCAGGCUUAAUGAUUUUCAUGACUCAUGGGAGGUUAGGAUUAGCAUCAGAUUCAUAUUCAACAGCUGUGAAUUUAUAUUACAUUUAUAUAACUAGAGGAAUCGUCCUCUCUCAUAUCAGAAACUGAGUCUUUAACUGUAAUCACUUAUAUAACGUUCAUGCUACUGAUUGUCAGGAUUACAAUGAGCUAACCUAUGGAAGUCUAAUAUGUUUGUUUUAAAACUUCACACGCUUGACAAAUGUGGAUUUUGCAGUUCCUGUUUUGGCACUCCAUCUUCCCAUCCUGUAUCUGUCCAUUCACACUGGGGCCAGUCUCAAGUUUCCCGCAAAGGUGAAAGUUUGUUAACAAUGUAACACUGUAAUCUCGUUG